rnacentral:rRNA from 1 species
AUUGAACGCUGGCGGCAUGCCUUACACACGCAAGUCGAACGGCAGCACGGGUGCUUGCACCUGGUGGCGAGUGGCGAACGGGUGAGUAAUAUAUCGGAACGUACCUUAUUGUGGGGGAUAACGCAGCGAAAGCUGUGCUAAUACCGCAUAAUCCCUAAGGGGGAAAGCGGGGGACCGUAAGGCCUCGCGCAAUUAGAGCGGCCGAUACCUGAUUAGCUAGUUGGUGAGGUAAAGGCUCACCAAGGCAACGAUCAGUAGCUGGUCUGAGAGGACGAUCAGCCACACUGGGACUGAGACACGGCCCAGACUCCUACGGGAGGCAGCAGUGGGGAAUUUUGGACAAUGGGGGCAACCCUGAUCCAGCAAUGCCGCGUGAGUGAAGAAGGCCUUCGGGUUGUAAAGCUCUUUUGUCAGGGAAGGAACAGCAGCUCUAACACAGUUUGCGAAUGACGGUACCUGAAGAAUAAGCACCGGCUAACUACGUGCCAGCAGCCGCAGUAA